AUGACGUCCGGAGGCAUCGGAUCCGUCAAGUUCCACUACCGCCAUGAACAACUACCGUCGCCGAGAUCGCGAGAACCUCUACUUCCUCCUCGAAACGUGAACGACUACCGUCGACCCCAAGUGACUCGGUUUCGUCAAGUCCUUCUACGAAAAUGCGUACCACUACAGUCGCGAGUACCUCUAUCGUCGUCGUGUACCCCCUACUUCCACCACGUCCCGAGAACAUAUACUUCCUCUACUUGGCACCGAACGAGAACCGACCCGUUUGCACACUUCGAAGGUAUAACCAUCGAGACGACGCCCGUGAACGAAUGCAUGUGUGAUGUAUGA
rnacentral:rRNA from 1 species